AUGAGUCUCCAUAACGAGUGUCAACGACAACAGCUGAGCGGCUCAAACUCUGCAAGGCCACAAACAUUUUGGACCAUCUGUCCAACUUGUGGCACCAAAUAUCAGUACCACCGUGCAAUUUUAAUGAAAUUUGUCCGCUGCCAGAAUUGCUCGAAGCCCUUUAUAGCACAUGUUUCAACUGAGCAACCUGCUCCUUCUGGUCCAGAUCAACAGUUUGCUGGGGUGUGGAAAAAUGCAGGAAUAUUCUCAGAAAUUAGAUCGCUUCAGAAGUUCGAACCUGGGCAGGUCUGGGCCCUCUACAGUGACAAAGAUAAGUGUCCCAACUGCUAUGCCUUGAUACAGAAAGUUGAUUUCAAGAACAAUAAAGUACAUGCAAGAUGGCUGGAAGUUUGUCCUGAUGGGGAGGUGGAGAAAAGAUUGGUAGAAGAUCGAACUGUUGGGUGUGGAACCUAUAGGGUUUCCACCACCCGUGGUAUUAUGAUUUACACUGACACGAAACAUUUUUCUCAUCCUAUACAUGCGAUAUUCACUGGUAGAAGGAACUCUUAUGAAAUAUAUCCUAGGAAAGGUGAAGUUUGGGCCCUUCUCAAGGGAUGGGAUAUUUGUUGGAGUUCAGAUGCUCACAACCAAAAGAACUACAAGUAUCAAGUUGUUCAGGUCCUCUCUGAUUUCACAACAGGCACCAGCAUCGCUGUCAUUCCGCUUGUGAAGAUAAAAGUCUUUAUUAGCUUAUUUAUGCAGUCUAAAGAGGCUACUCCAUACCUGAUACCUCAGGAUGACACAAUAUGGUUCUCACACUGCGUCCCACAUCAUUUGAUGAGUGGAGCUGAAAGCGAAGGCAUUCCAGAAGGGGCUCUGGAACUUGAUCCCACAGCGCUUCCCCUUAACUUGGAAGAGGCUCUUGCCUGUGUUGUUCCAGAAAGCAGUUCACUGAAAGGCCCGAAGUUUGAUGCCAAAUAUGCUGGCUCAUCCAGUGGAAAUAAAUCUUACAAGGGAUGCGUGAGGAUUGGGGAGGGACAACGUGCUACAUGCACGAAUGCAGGGAUCUUUACAAAGACACCGAUGGUAGAGAACAGACAACAUGACACUCCAUUUUCUGCGGGAGGUACAGAUGUUGAUGAGCUAUCUGAUCAUAGUGUCCAAGCGAAAGUAUUAUGUCCUGAAUUUUUUAACUUUGACCAACUUAGAGGUGUAAAUCAGUUUAGAGUGAACCAGGUCUGGGCUGUCUAUGAUAGUCGAAGCUGUAUGCCAAGAUCUUAUGCUCGAAUUACAAAGGUAAAGAGGGCCCCCAAGUUUAUGGUACACUUUAUUUGGCUGGAGUUUGAUCCCACAAAUAAAGAGGAGCUGGCUUGGUCUUGUGGGGAACUGCCUGUUGCUUGUGGACAAUUUAGGCGUGGAAGGUCAGAAACAGCUCAAGAAACUUGCAUGUUCUCUCAUACUAUUUCCUGUCAGAAAAGCAAGAUGAGAAACUCUUAUGAUAUAUAUCCUAGGAAAGGUGAAGUUUGGGCCCUUUUUAAGGGAUGGGACAUUAGUUGGAGUUCAGAUGCUGGCAACCACAGAAACUGUGAUUAUGAGGUUGUUCAAGUCGUCUCUGAUUUCACAACAGGAAAUAGCAUCAUCGUCAUGCCACUUGUAAAACUAAAAGGUUUCGUCAGCUUAUUUAUGCAGUCAAAAGAGGGAAGUGCGUACCCGAUACCGCGGGAUAGCACACUGAGGUUUUCACAUUGUGUCCCUCGUCAUCUGAUGUGUGGAACUGAAAGAGAAGGCGUUCCACAAGGAAGUCUUGAACUCGAUCCUGCAGCACUUCCUCUUCAUUUGAAAGAGGCCUUUGCUUCUGUUGUCCCAGAAAAAAGUUCAGCAAAAUGCCAGGAGUUUGAUGCCAAAUGUCCUGGUUCAUCAGGUGGAAAUAACUCUGGCAAGGGAUCCAGUAGGGCUGGAGAGAAGCAACAUGCGACAUGCAUGAACACAUCGAUGUUUGCAAAGAUGCCAACAGAAGAGACCAGAGAGAAUAACACUCCAUCUGCUGUUGAAUGUACACAUGCUGGCGAGGAAUCUGAUGAUACUGUCCGAGUAGGAUAUGACUGUCCCGAUUCAGAGUUCUACGAAUUUUCAGAAACAAGACUGCUUCACAAGUUCGAACCUGGGCAGAUCUGGGCCAUCUACAGCGACAUCGAUAAGUUCCCCAAUUACUAUGCCUUCAUAGAGAAUGUUGACCUCAAGAACAACAAAGUACAAGCAAGAUGGCUUGAUGCAUGUCCCCAGGGAGAGGAGGAGAGAAGACUGGUGACAGAAGAUCGGCCUGUUGGCUGCGGAACCUUUAAGGUUUGCACUGCGCAGGGCCUUAUGACUUACACUGGUACAGAAAUAGCAGAAUGCUUUUCUCGUCUUGUGCUUGCUAGACCGACGGGCAGAAGAAACGAAUAUGAAAUCGCCCCUCGCCUUGGUGAGGUCUGGGCCGUUUACAAGGACUGGAAGGCUGGAUGGACUGCACGCGAUUUUAGCAGCUGUGACUAUGAGUUGGUGGAGAUAUUCUGCCAUACUAAUUCGUCCAUACGAGUUCGGCUGCUGAGGAAGGUUGAUGGUUACAGGGCAGUAUUUACAAGGGAGACAACUGUGGAGACCAUAGGCAAGGAUGAGUACCUGAAGUUCUCCCACCAGAUCCCUUGCUUCCAUCUGACAAACGAAGGAGGAGGCAAGCUUCGGGGCUGUUUGGAGCUCGAUCCUUAUUCCGUGCCGGAGGAGUUUCUCCUGACUGACUGA
rnacentral:rRNA from 1 species